CCUACGGGAGGCAGCAGUAAGGAAUAUUGGACAAUGGGCGCAAGCCUGAUCCAGCCAUGCCGCGUGAAGGAUUAAGGCCCUCUGGGUUGUAAACUUCUUUUAUAGGGGACGAAAAAAGGGCUUUCUAGCUCGACUGACGGUACCCUAUGAAUAAGCACCGGCUAACUCCGUGCCAGCAGCCGCGGUAAUACGGAGGGUGCAAGCGUUAUCCGGAUUCACUGGGUUUAAAGGGUGCGUAGGCGGGCAGUUAAGUCAGUGGUGAAAUCUCUGGGCUCAACCCCGGAAACUGCCAUUGAUACUAUCUGUCUUGAAUAUUGUGGAGGUGAGCGGAAUAUGUCAUGUAGCGGUGAAAUGCUUAGAUAUGACAUAGAACACCGAUUGCGUAGGCAGCUCGCUACACAUAUAUUGACGCUGAGGCACGAAAGCGUGGGGAUCAAACAGGAUUAGAUACCCUGGUAGUCCACGCCCUAAACUAUGAUUACUCGACAUUUGCGAUACACAGUAAGUGUCUGAGCGAAAGNAUAAUAAUACACCAGGAAGACGACCGACGAGUAGAACGUACAAUAGAAGUUAGAGGACGAGAGAGAGCGACGGACGACGACGAGGGAGGAGG
rnacentral:rRNA from 1 species